UCUUAAUAAAUAUUUUACUAAUUAAAUGUAAUUAAGAACCUUGUUUAAGAAACACUUUGAUUCAUACCCUCCAAUGGUAGUUUCUUAUUUAGGGGUUCCUAAAAAAAUAUUGUUUUUUAUUGCUAAAAAAAAACAAGACCAAACCAUGCAAAUAAGCAUAGCAAUGAAUACCCACAAUGUGUUCAUCCAAGAUGUUAUAUAUGAGGCAAAAGAGAUACUGCAUCCAAGAUGUUCAAUUCCAUUGGUCCAUAUGAGUAAACAUUUGUUAUUUUAAUUCACUUUGCAGUUAAUAUAAACAAAGACGUUGUUUUAUACUAAAGAAGAAAAAUGCAAGAACACACUUUACCAUUUCAAACUAGGAUCACAAGACAUGGUUGGCUCCUGUCAAAUGAAUCUUGGUGUGCUGCAACUUCACUAAACGAAUUCCAAACCACCUAGGCUUUCAUUCAGCAAAGAACCUGAACAAACGGAAGUAAUACAAAGGGAAAGGUCAAAACACAGCAAAAAAAAAUCAUCACAGUUCACAUCUAUACAAGUCUCCGAUCAUCUUGCACUGAUUCCAUAGAUACAGAGACCAACCUAAUAAACCAUUCUCAGCUUAAAAAAAACAUUAGGCUACAAUGACACCAAUCUUUUGUCAGCCCAAACUACAAAGAUCAACACUUUUUUCAUGACCAGAUGAUCAUUAGAGCAAAACUCAAUCUCAGCAAUCAAUACAUUGCUUUUAAGAAACUAAAAAAAAAAACUUUGAAUAAAGACCAGAGAGGAAGACGUACAAGUGUUAGCUGAGAUGGAUCUUGUUGUUGAUGACAGUGCUGAACCAGCAACAGAGAAAGAAGCAAGGAGAAGCCAUAUCAACAUUCCUUUCCCUCUGUUCAGCCUCUCCAUAAGCUUUCUUCUAUGCUUAAUCCCGAAACCCCUAAUUUCAUUCCAGAAGAUGGCGAGUCAGUUAAAAACCCUAAUUUUUAGAAACAGAGAGAAGAGAAGCAAAGACCUGACGAAAUCUAUGGCUGGGGAAGUGAGAUUAAAAAUUGAGGAGAUGGGUUUUGUUUUGGGAGAUGUGAUUGACUCGAAAGAGUGAAGCUUUAUCCAAUUUCCUCCUCACGAGAUUCUUCAGAGAUUGAUCAAAGAUCGCGAGAUGGUUAAAGAAUCAACUAGAGCCAGAGAGUUGUCGUUUCUGUUUCGAGAGAGAAAGCAAAGAACCAAAGAAAGGUCUGAAACUCACUAAAUUUUGACACCUGUCUCCUAACAUACGUUUCUUCCUUCUCCUAACUAAGCGACGUAUCUUCUAUUUAC
rnacentral:lncRNA from 1 species